AUUUUAUGGCCCUUUGGCUAGAUCAAGUGUAGUAUCUGUUCUUAUCAGUUUAAUAUCUGAUACAUCCUGUAUUUGAGGACUAUAUAUUAAAAAAAAGGUCAGAGAGAAUCCAAAGUUCAUGAAGCCCUUCAUACUCGGCAUCUAAGGGAUGAGGCAUUUCCUGACUGGCUAAACUUUGUUUAUGUCU